rnacentral:rRNA from 1 species
GAUGAACGCUAGCGGCAGGCCUAAUACAUGCAAGUCGAACGGUGUCUUCGGACAUAGUGGCGCACGGGUGCGUAACACGUAUGCAACCUACCUUACAUUGGGGGAUAGCCUUUCGAAAGGGAGAUUAAUACCGCAUAAGACAGUAGCUGGGCAUCCAGCAGCUGUUAAAGAUUUAUCGAUGUAAGCUGGGCAUGCGUCCAAUUAGCUAGUUGGUGAGGUAACGGCUCACCAAGGCAAUGAUUGGUAGGGGAACUGAGAGGUCAAUCCCCCACACUGGCACUGAGAUACGGGCCAGACUCCUACGGGAGGCAGCAGUAGGGAAUAUUGGGCAAUGGACGCAAGUCUGACCCAGCCAUGCCGCGUGCAGGAUGAAGGCGUUAUGCGUUGUAAACUGCUUUUAUACAGGAAGAAACGACUCUUGCGAGAGGCAUUGACGGUACUGUAUGAAUAAGCACCGGCUAACUCCGUGCCAGCAGCCGCGGUAA